rfam:Danaus plexippus plexippus isolate F-2 unplaced genomic scaffold DPSCF300351, whole genome shotgun sequence.
UGCAAGGGCACUCUGUGUUCAACAUAAUAAAUAUGUGAAUAACAAUUUGUUACCUUGCUAUAUAAAAUCUAUUAAUCCUAUUCCAAAUAAUUCGUUAUGAUUAUUUGGUCAUAAUGAUAGAGACAAUUC